UGCAGCGUGGGUCAACAAAUGUGUGCCUAAAUGCCUGCCUGCUAUAAAAGGAGUCUUCCACAGGUGAUGUGUCACGCUAACGGAGAUACAGGGUAUCAGAUUUGGUUUGUUGGUUUUCCACUUUACUCAUGGUAGCACUGCAGCAGUGGAGACUUUUGUGGCUGUGUUUUGCCUUUCACUCCAUCAGCAUUUCUAGACGAGAUGUUUUGUCCAUAAGGUUAAUUGAAGAUGAGCAAAGAUUAGAAUCAGGUGUUUUUCACGGCACCACAGUAUGAUCAGCGUUUUUUGGUUUGUUUUCAUGUGUUGUUUUGAUUUUUGUACGAAGGUUUCAGUGUGUCCUUACCAGCUGUUCCCGCGUUGUGCUUGGGGGCAGGGUCUCCUUGCUGGCUGUGUAGGGCAGUGAGGGAGCCUGGGGAAACUAAAGAGGAUGUGUCUGCAGAGCAGACCUGCUGGGCUAGGAUGGACCUUAAGAAUAUUCUUGGAAAGCCCCCAGCAUUUCCUAGGAGCUCAUAAGAGGGCAUUUCCUUGGUGAUGCUCGUGGUCUCACGCUAGUAGGUCUGUCUGAGACUCAGCAAAUAUUUUGUUCCAUAUGAGCGCUGCCUGAGAUGCUUUCCCCGUGCUAAGUGUACUUUUUUUUUUGAGUUAUGAUUUCCAUACGGCUGAGUGCUUUUUCACAUCAUCAGGUGAAGGGCUAUGUGUGCCCUUAUCCUGUAGAGCUUAGUAUCGCUAAUGACAAACAUGUUCAGUAACUUCCUUUCAUUUUUGCCUGCUGUUUUCAUCUAGAAUGAAAGACUGCCUUACAUGACAAUGUCUGAAGCGUUCAACUGUGGAACAUCGCUGCAUGAACGUCAGAGGAACAGUCCCCUCAUUUCAGCUGCAGUGUGACAGCUUUGAGGACAGGAUGCAUUCUGUCCUCCUGGGGCAUUUUGCUGAGAUUUCCACUCCGUGACUCAGCUGCUGUGGACCAGAACCAUGGCUCGGAGUCCCACCCAGAGCAAUGCUUCAGACUCCGCAGAGCUUUCCCCUGGCACAUGGCUUUCAGCACACUGUGCUGCAGAGGCAGGCAGCCUUCCCCCAGCAAGGUACCUUUCCCCUUUGUAAUGAAUGCAAUGUUUGGAUUGUACAUUUUAAGACUUCCUGCUAAUUUAGUUAGUGGGAUGUAGCAUUCAGGAGAGCGCUUCUCUAAUAACAUUCAUCUGCUUAAUUUAUACCUCGUACGUAAUAAAACUAGCUAAAAGUAGAAACA
rnacentral:lncRNA from 1 species